rnacentral:misc_RNA from 1 species
CAGCCCUUUGAUGUGCUGCACCUGUAAUACCCCCUUGGAUAAGGAGAUCCUUUAAUAGGUUUUUGCCCAUAUUUUCUCCAAGACCAAAAAUCAGAAGGCGGUCCUUCAUUCUUUAUUUUCCCAGCAUUUUCUCCAAUCCUCACUGUAACAACAGUCUUCUCAACCACCUUCCUACAACUUCUUUUGGAUGCCUGAGUUUCUGAUUUGAGUUCUGAUAAUUUGGAGUCUAGUUUUGGAGAGCAAGGAGAACCAUUCAUGACUACUUUUUGCUGUUAUGGCUGCUUCUUAUCUUAUGCCAAAAAAGCUUUAGAUUAGACAGUGAAGAUAGUUAUGAAGAUUCAACUUACAGAGAAGUGAAAAAGGAAAAGAACAGGAUCAAGCUCGAACUCUAAUUGAUUGAGAGAGAGAGAGAGAGAGAGAAGAAGCAAACUUCAUUUCUUACAGAUUGUCCUUAAUUCCUUAUUAACACAGAUUUGGACCCAACUGGUACUACAGAACCUGAAAAACGGCAAUGACAUCUUGUGAUUUAGAAACUUCUAUUUCUACUGCUACAACAUCCCUUUGAGUAGGAGACACCAUAAUAAUGAACCAACCGUAAAAAUCCCAUCCAACCACAAACAGGUAACUUCACAGCGAAUAUGAAUAAGCUCACUACAAGGAGGCAUGCCACCAUUAUUUCUAUGUACUAGAGCUGUACACCAAACUCAUGUUACAAGCAUGCAUUUUGUACUUGUUCUAAUCUGCCAAAGGAAAGGCUGCUGUGUCUCUCCAGUACCUCAGGAAUGAUGCACCUUCAGCAGUGCUUGAUAAAACAUGUCAAUAAAUUGAUCAUCCUGAACAAGUUUCAAAAGUGCAUCACGGACUUUGUCUCUGUUAAUAACAGGUGCAGUGGUAGGAGAACUAGGAGUCAAAGAUGGUGGUGGAGUGGGAGGAGGAAAGGGUUGAAGCAAUGGGGUGCCAUAUGGGCGUUGCAGAUUUAGGGGAGGAUGAAGAGCAGGAGCAGUUGGCAGAGGUGAAGACAUAGGUGGAGCCGUCAAUGCAGAUGAAGAAGGUGGAGUAAAA